rnacentral:rRNA from 1 species
GGGUUGUGAGGUUAAGCGACUAAGCGUACACGGUGGAUGCCCUGGCAGUCAGAGGCGAUGAAGGACGUGCUAAUCUGCGAUAAGCGCCGGUAAGGUGAUAUGAACCGUUAUAACCGGCGAUUUCCGAAUGGGGAAACCCAGUGUGACUCGUCACACUAUCAUUAACUGAAUCCAUAGGUUAAUGAGGCGAACCGGGGGAACUGAAACAUCUAAGUACCCCGAGGAAAAGAAAUCAACCGAGAUUCCCCCAGUAGCGGCGAGCGAACGGGGAGGAGCCCAGAGCCUGAAUCAGCAUGUGUGUUAGUGGAAGCGUCUGGAAAGGCGCGCGAUACAGGGUGACAGCCCCGUACACAAAAGCGCAUGUGUUGUGAGCUCGAUGAGUAGGGCGGGACACGUGGUAUCCUGUCUGAAUAUGGGGGGACCAUCCUCCAAGGCUAAAUACUCCUGACUGACCGAUAGUGAACCAGUACCGUGAGGGAAAGGCGAAAAGAACCCCGGCGAGGGGAGUGAAAAAGAACCUGAAACCGUGUACGUACAAGCAGUGGGAGCCCCACCACUAAGCCAGUGGUGAACUCCACAUACGCAUCCUUUGCUGAAGGUGCGGUUAACGGAGCGCAAGCGACGUUCAACCUCAAAAGAAGCAGAGGGGGCUUAGUGGUGGGGUGACUGCGUACCUUUUGUAUAAUGGGUCAGCGACUUAUAUUCUGUAGCAAGGUUAACCGCAUAGGGGAGCCGGAGGGAAACCGAGUCUUAAUUGGGCGUUAAGUUGCAGGGUAUAGACCCGAAACCCGGUGAUCUAGCCAUGGGCAGGUUGAAGGUUGGGUAACACUAACUGGAGGACCGAACCGACUAAUGUUGAAAAAUUAGCGGAUGACCUGUGGCUGGGGGUGAAAGGCCAAUCAAACCGGGAGAUAGCUGGUUCUCCCCGAAAGCUAUUUAGGUAGCGCCUCGUGAAUUCAUCUCCGGGGGUAGAGCACUGUUUCGGCUAGGGGGCCAUCCCGGCUUACCAACCCGAUGCAAACUGCGAAUACCGGAGAAUGUUAUCACGGGAGACACACGGCGGGUGCUAACGUCCGUCGUGAAGAGGGAAACAACCCAGACCGCCAGCUAAGGUCCCAAAGUCAUGGUUAAGUGGGAAACGAUGUGGGAAGGCCCAGACAGCCAGGAUGUUGGCUUAGAAGCAGCCAUCAUUUAAAGAAAGCGUAAUAGCUCACUGGUCGAGUCGGCCUGCGCGGAAGAUGUAACGGGGCUAAACCAUGCACCGAAGCUGCGGCAGCGACGCUGAUGCGUUGUUGGGUAGGGGAGCGUUCUGUAAGCCUGUGAAGGUGGCCUGUGAGGGUUGCUGGAGGUAUCAGAAGUGCGAAUGCUGACAUAAGUAACGAUAAAGCGGGUGAAAAGCCCGCUCGCCGGAAGACCAAGGGUUCCUGUCCAACGUUAAUCGGGGCAGGGUGAGUCGACCCCUAAGGCGAGGCCGAAAGGCGUAGUCGAUGGGAAACGGGUUAAUAUUCCCGUACUUGGUGUUACUGCGAAGGGGGGACGGAGAAGGCUAUGUUGGCCGGGCGACGGUUGUCCCGGUUUAAGCGUGUAGGUGUGUGUUCCAGGUAAAUCCGGUUCACUUUAACACUGAGGCGUGAUGACGAGGCACUACGGUGCUGAAGCAACAAAUGCCCUGCUUCCAGGAAAAGCCUCUAAGCAUCAGGUAACAUCAAAUCGUACCCCAAACCGACACAGGUGGUCAGGUAGAGAAUACCAAGGCGCUUGAGAGAACUCGGGUGAAGGAACUAGGCAAAAUGGUGCCGUAACUUCGGGAGAAGGCACGCUGACACGUAGGUGAAGUGAUUUACUCACGGAGCUGAAGUCAGUCGAAGAUACCAGCUGGCUGCAACUGUUUAUUAAAAACACAGCACUGUGCAAACACGAAAGUGGACGUAUACGGUGUGACGCCUGCCCGGUGCCGGAAGGUUAAUUGAUGGGGUCAGCGCAAGCGAAGCUCCUGAUCGAAGCCCCGGUAAACGGCGGCCGUAACUAUAACGGUCCUAAGGUAGCGAAAUUCCUUGUCGGGUAAGUUCCGACCUGCACGAAUGGCGUAAUGAUGGCCAGGCUGUCUCCACCCGAGACUCAGUGAAAUUGAACUCGCUGUGAAGAUGCAGUGUACCCGCGGCAAGACGGAAAGACCCCGUGAACCUUUACUAUAGCUUGACACUGAACAUUGAGCCUUGAUGUGUAGGAUAGGUGGGAGGCUUUGAAGUGUGGACGCCAGUCUGCAUGGAGCCGACCUUGAAAUACCACCCUUUAAUGUUUGAUGUUCUAACGUGGACCCGUAAUCCGGGUUGCGGACAGUGUCUGGUGGGUAGUUUGACUGGGGCGGUCUCCUCCUAAAGAGUAACGGAGGAGCACGAAGGUUGGCUAAUCCUGGUCGGACAUCAGGAGGUUAGUGCAAUGGCAUAAGCCAGCUUGACUGCGAGCGUGACGGCGCGAGCAGGUGCGAAAGCAGGUCAUAGUGAUCCGGUGGUUCUGAAUGGAAGGGCCAUCGCUCAACGGAUAAAAGGUACUCCGGGGAUAACAGGCUGAUACCGCCCAAGAGUUCAUAUCGACGGCGGUGUUUGGCACCUCGAUGUCGGCUCAUCACAUCCUGGGGCUGAAGUAGGUCCCAAGGGUAUGGCUGUUCGCCAUUUAAAGUGGUACGCGAGCUGGGUUUAGAACGUCGUGAGACAGUUCGGUCCCUAUCUGCCGUGGGCGCUGGAGAACUGAGGGGGGCUGCUCCUAGUACGAGAGGACCGGAGUGGACGCAUCACUGGUGUUCGGGUUGUCAUGCCAAUGGCACUGCCCGGUAGCUAAAUGCGGAAGAGAUAAGUGCUGAAAGCAUCUAAGCACGAAACUUGCCCCGAGAUGAGUUCUCCCUGAGACUUUAGGUCUCCUGAAGGAACGUUGAAGACGACGACGUUGAUAGGCCGGGUGUGUAAGCGCAGCGAUGCGUUGAGCUAACCGGUACUAAUGAACCGUGAGGCUUAACCUUACAACGCCGAAG